rnacentral:rRNA from 1 species
UUAAGCGACUAAGCGUACACGGUGGAUGCCCUGGCAGUCAGAGGCGAUGAAGGACGUGCUAAUCUGCGAAAAGCGUCGGUAAGGUGAUAUGAACCGUUAUAACCGGCGAUGUCCGAAUGGGGAAACCCAGUGUGAUUCGUCACACUAUCGUUAACUGAAUACAUAGGUUAACGAGGCGAACCGGGGGAACUGAAACAUCUAAGUACCCCGAGGAAAAGAAAUCAACCGAGAUUCCCCCAGUAGCGGCGAGCGAACGGGGAGCAGCCCAGAGUCUGAAUCAGCUUGUGUGUUAGUGGAACGGUCUGGAAAGUCCGACGGUACAGGGUGAUAGUCCCGUACACCAAAAUGCACAGGUUGUGAACUCGAAGAGUAGGGCGGGACACGUGGUAUCCUGUCUGAAUAUGGGGGGACCAUCCUCCAAGGCUAAAUACUCCUGACUGACCGAUAGUGAACCAGUACCGUGAGGGAAAGGCGAAAAGAACCCCGGCGAGGGGAGUGAAAAAGAACCUGAAACCGUGUACGUACAAGCAGUGGGAGCACCUUCGGGUGUGACUGCGUACCUUUUGUAUAAUGGGUCAGCGACUUAUAUUCUGUAGCAAGGUUAACCGUAUAGGGGAGCCGCAGGGAAACCGAGUCUUAACUGGGCGUUAAGUUGCAGGGUAUAGACCCGAAACCCGGUGAUCUAGCCAUGGGCAGGUUGAAGGUUGGGUAACACUAACUGGAGGACCGAACCGACUAAUGUUGAAAAAUUAGCGGAUGACUUGUGGCUGGGGGUGAAAGGCCAAUCAAACCGGGAGAUAGCUGGUUCUCCCCGAAAGCUAUUUAGGUAGCGCCUCGUGAACUCAUCUUCGGGGGUAGAGCACUGUUUCGGCUAGGGGGUCAUCCCGACUUACCAACCCGAUGCAAACUACGAAUACCGAAGAAUGUUAUCACGGGAGACACACGGCGGGUGCUAACGUCCGUCGUGAAGAGGGAAACAACCCAGACCGCCAGCUAAGGUCCCAAAGUCAUGGUUAAGUGGGAAACGAUGUGGGAAGGCACAGACAGCCAGGAUGUUGGCUUAGAAGCAGCCAUCAUUUAAAGAAAGCGUAAUAGCUCACUGGUCGAGUCGGCCUGCGCGGAAGAUGUAACGGGGCUAAACCAUGCACCGAAGCUGCGGCAGCGACACUAUGUGUUGUUGGGUAGGGGAGCGUUCUGUAAGCCUGCGAAGGUGUGCUGUGAGGCAUGCUGGAGGUAUCAGAAGUGCGAAUGCUGACAUAAGUAACGAUAAAGCGGGUGAAAAGCCCGCUCGCCGGAAGACCAAGGGUUCCUGUCCAACGUUAAUCGGGGCAGGGUGAGUCGACCCCUAAGGCGAGGCCGAAAGGCGUAGUCGAUGGGAAACAGGUUAAUAUUCCUGUACUUGGUGUUACUGCGAAGGGGGGACGGAGAAGGCUAUGUUAGCCGGGCGACGGUUGUCCCGGUUUAAGCAUGUAGGCUGGUUAUCCAGGCAAAUCCGGAUAAUCAAGGCUGAGGUGUGAUGACGAGGCACUACGGUGCUGAAGUAACAAAUGCCCUGCUUCCAGGAAAAGCCUCUAAGCAUCAGGUAACAUCAAAUCGUACCCCAAACCGACACAGGUGGUCAGGUAGAGAAUACCAAGGCGCUUGAGAGAACUCGGGUGAAGGAACUAGGCAAAAUGGUGCCGUAACUUCGGGAGAAGGCACGCUGGUGUGUAGGUGAAGUCCCUGCGGAUGGAGCUGAGACCAGUCGAAGAUACCAGCUGGCUGCAACUGUUUAUUAAAAACACAGCACUGUGCAAACACGAAAGUGGACGUAUACGGUGUGACGCCUGCCCGGUGCCGGAAGGUUAAUUGAUGGGGUUAUCCGUAAGGAGAAGCUCUUGAUCGAAGCCCCGGUAAACGGCGGCCGUAACUAUAACGGUCCUAAGGUAGCGAAAUUCCUUGUCGGGUAAGUUCCGACCUGCACGAAUGGCGUAAUGAUGGCCAGGCUGUCUCCACCCGAGACUCAGUGAAAUUGAACUCGCUGUGAAGAUGCAGUGUACCCGCGGCAAGACGGAAAGACCCCGUGAACCUUUACUAUAGCUUGACACUGAACAUUGAGCCUUGAUGUGUAGGAUAGGUGGGAGGCUUUGAAGCGUGGACGCCAGUCUGCGUGGAGCCAACCUUGAAAUACCACCCUUUAAUGUUUGAUGUUCUAACGUUGGCCCCUGACCGGGGUUGCGGACAGUGUCUGGUGGGUAGUUUGACUGGGGCGGUCUCCUCCCAAAGCGUAACGGAGGAGCACGAAGGUUAGCUAAUCCUGGUCGGACAUCAGGAGGUUAGUGCAAUGGCAUAAGCUAGCUUGACUGCGAGCGUGACGGCGCGAGCAGGUGCGAAAGCAGGUCAUAGUGAUCCGGUGGUUCUGAAUGGAAGGGCCAUCGCUCAACGGAUAAAAGGUACUCCGGGGAUAACAGGCUGAUACCGCCCAAGAGUUCAUAUCGACGGCGGUGUUUGGCACCUCGAUGUCGGCUCAUCACAUCCUGGGGCUGAAGUAGGUCCCAAGGGUAUGGCUGUUCGCCAUUUAAAGUGGUACGCGAGCUGGGUUUAGAACGUCGUGAGACAGUUCGGUCCCUAUCUGCCGUGGGCGCUGGAGAAUUGAGGGGGGCUGCUCCUAGUACGAGAGGACCGGAGUGGACGCAUCACUGGUGUUCGGGUUGUCAUGCCAAUGGCACUGCCCGGUAGCUAAAUGCGGAAGAGAUAAGUGCUGAAAGCAUCUAAGCACGAAACUUGCCCCGAGAUGAGUUCUCCCUGAGACUAUAAGUCUCCUGAAGGAACGUUGAAGACGACGACGUUGAUAGGCCGGGUGUGUAAGCGCAGCGAUGCGUUGAGCUAACCGGUACUAAUGAACCGUGAGGCUUAACCUU